GCCACAUGAUGUGAUGUAGAUGACACGAGCACAUGUUGUGCAGAGAUGACUCAUCAUCUAUCACCCUGUACUGAUGGCU